rnacentral:misc_RNA from 1 species
AUUAUGCUUUCUCAUCUUGAAACCUAUGUCUUACCUAAUAUCAAAAUUUUGGAAGAAAGUGGAUUGCCAAAAUCAAGUAUAGCUUGGCUACUAAGAUAUCAACCAGCAACGUUUAUGACAAGCUCAAAUCGAUUUUCUGAGAUUGUAGAAGAAGUGAAGGGAAUGGGUUUGAAUCCUUUGUCAGUGAACUUUGUUGCUGCAAUCCAUGCAGUAAGGGCAAUGAGCACAUCAACAUGGAAAAGUAAAAUUGAUAUUUAUAAGAAGUGGGGUUGGUCUGAUGAAGAGAUUCUAGUGGCUUUUGGGAAGCAUCCAUGGUGUAUGAUGGGUUCUGAGAAAAAGAUUACGGCAGCCAUGGAUUUCUAUAUCAACAAAAUGGGUUGGUAUUCUUCAUAUAUUGCACAACAUCCAGUACUAAUAUCACUGGGCUUGGAUAAGAGGAUUGUGCCACGGUGUUCAGUUAUCCAGGUUCUGCUGUCAAAAGGUCUGAUGAAGCAGACUAGGUUUUCUUCACCAUUGAUAAUUUCUGAAGAAUCGUUCCUGCAUAAGUUCGUGACACCUUAUGAGGAGGAAGUUCCACAUCUGUUGAAGUUAUAUCGGGAGAAGUUGGAAAUUGCAAAAUGUAAGGAUAUGGAGAAAGGGAGCUAAGACAUUUGUUGGGGCAAUUAUGGAAAUGGCAUGCCAGCUUGCCAAUCCUUUAAUUGUUAUAAUUAUUCCUAUUUCUACAAUUUGGUCCAAUUAACGACAAUGGUUUUGAGUUUGUUUAAGUCUGAUCAUAUAUUUGAUUGGUACUUGCAUAAGUUUUUUUUUUUUGUCGUUGAUGAUGAGGAUGACAACUCUAGGAUUAACGGGGUUAUGUGCCAUGUUUCCUUUUGCAUGAUAGUAUGUUGGCUGCAACAGAUUAUUUUCCAUCAAAUCAAGUUUAUGAAUGGAUUUAAAAAGGGGUGGGAGUCAUUAUUUUGUUUAGUAAUUUGGUUGAGUCUUUGAAUCGAGAUCUUUUUGAAAUGUAUGCAGGACUGCUAGCUUACAUUGAAGUAAUAAUUUCAUUGAUUCCUAACCCUAAAUCUUGGCUCAUUUCAUGUGUUAUUCUCCGCCACAAAAUAGACAUUGAUUAAGGUCAUAAUAUUAGUAAUUGUUAUCCUGGUGACUUUUGUGACAAUGUUUUACUUUAUCAAAGGAGUCGCUGGAGAUGUUGAAGAGCUGGCUAAACAUUUCAUUGGGAAAGAGAUGGCUUUCUUCUUCUUCUUCUUCU